AUGGUGUUUGAGAGUAGUCCUAGCUAUGCGGAUGUCUUGGAACAAGUGAGGAAGAAUUUGAAUUGGAUGGACCCAAGUGAUGUUGUUGAGCUGGAGGGAAGGCAUAAUGUUGGUUUUGGAAUGCACAACCGUUGUAAGACAAUACGUGUGAACUCCGAGCAACGUUGGGUUGCAUACAAGGAGACGGUUGCCGAAUCUCUAGACAAGGCUCUUGAGUUAUUUGCCUCCAAGAAGGUUGACUCUAGUUUGCAUUUGGACUUGAACCGGAACCCCUCCCCGUUGGUUGCUAGUACUCCCCACCCACAAACCAAGAUUAAAUGA
rnacentral:rRNA from 1 species